GUAUAACGAUGCAGUAAAUGGCGAUUCUGUAUUUUAGAAGUAAAAUUCGCUGUUAACUUUUAAUGUAUUUCUUCAAUGGGAGUGACAUAAACAUAUUGUGCUGUUGUUUAAAGUUCGGUUUUGCAUAGGACAAUUAUUUUGUCUUCAACUACAAUACUAAUUUACUAUUGACGCAAGGUGAAGAUUGUUUACCAUUCCUUAAUUUUCGAACGUGUAAUACACAGUCUUUGAAAAAAGACUUAUUUCAAUUCAGAAAAGGUAACAUAUGAAUUUGUUCUCUAUCAGUUACAGCACUCGCGAGGUUAUAAUUUAAAAUUAGUUUUUAAUUUUCCACCAACAUUCGAUAGCUCUUAACUAUUCUGAACUAGUACGAAAAAGUUUGGACUUUGUUGUCGUCUUCAUUUUUGACUUUGACAACUGACAAGUCGGUCAGAGUGUAAGAGGUGUGCCCGUGUUCGGUGUUGGGGUGCAACUAUUAGUGAGACAGCCAAAAAAACUGCGAGUGUUGUGGAGCUACUUGUCGGAUCGACUACAACAGGAACGCCUUUAGGUAUGAUCGCUCUGUAGUGACGAAAGGACGUCGGCGUAAGCGAUGCGACACCCAAAUCUAUCUGCCACGAUGUAAGUGAUUAAUUGGUGCACAUCAACAGUUUGGCACCAAUCAUGGAGCUUACACCACACGUGCAAGAGAAGCUGCACUCAGGGCACAAGCUCACUGCUGUAUCCUUUCUAUGCACUGCAUC